rnacentral:rRNA from 1 species
GGAAUUUUGCGCAAUGGGCGAAAGCCUGACGCAGCAACGCCGCGUGGAGGAAGAAGGCCUCCGGGUCGUAAACUCCUGUCCCCAGGGACGAAAAAAAUGACGGUACCUGGGGAGGCAGCCCCGGCUAACUCCGUGCCAGCAGCCGCGGUAAUACGGGGGGGGCGAGCGUGGUUCGGAAUUACUGGGCGUAAAGGGCGCGUAGGCGGCACGAGAAGUUCUGGGUGAAAGCCCCCGGCUCAACCGGGGAAGGGCCUGGAAAACCAUCGGGCUGGAGUGCUGGAGAGGCAAGCGGAAUUUCUGGUGUAGCGGUGAAAUGCGUAGAUAUCAGAAGGAACACCUGCGGCGAAGGCGGCUUGCCGGACAGACACUGACGCUGAGGCGCGAAAGCCAGGGGAGCA